rnacentral:tRNA from 1 species
GAGGGUAUAGCUCAAGUGGUAGAGUACAUGCUUAGCAUACAUGAGGUCCUGGUUCAAUCCCCAGUACCUCCU